rnacentral:rRNA from 1 species
AUUGAACGCUGGCGGCAGGCUUAACACAUGCAAGUCGAGCGAGCGGCGGACGGGUGAGUAAUGUAUGGGAACAUGCCCGAUGGCGGGGGAUAACUACUGGAAACGGUAGCUACUACCGCAUACCAUUCGAGCUGCCCAGAUGGGAUUAGCUAGUAGGUGGGGUAAAGGCUCACCCAGGCCACGAUCCCUAGCUGGUCUGGGAGGAUGACCAGCAACACUGGAACGGAGACACGGUCCAGACGCCAACGGGAGGCAGAGGUGGGGAAUAGUGGAGAAUGGGCGCAAGACUGAUUCAGCCAUGCGGCGUGUGUGAUGAAGGCCUUUGCGUUGUAAAGCACUGUGAGCGAAGAGGCGUUACUCGCAGAAGAAGCACCGGCUAUCUCCGUUCCAGCAGCCGCGGUAAUUC